UGGGAACGGGUGCUAAAACCCCCUAUGUCGAGAGGGGAAAAAGAUUUCUGCCUAAGGAAGAGCUCGCGGCUGAUUAGCUAGUUGGUAGGAUAAAAGACUACCAAGGCAACGAUCAGUAGCUGGUUUGAGAGGACGAUCAGCCACACUGGGACUGAGACACGGCCCAGACUCCUACGGGAGGCAGCAGUGGGGAAUCUUCUGCAAUGGGCGAAAGCCUGACAGAGCAAUACCGCGUGAGGGAUAAAAGCCUGAGGGUCGUAAACCUCUUUUUUCAGGGAAGAAAUUUGACGGUACCUGAAGAAUAAGCAUCGGCUAACUCCGUGCCAGCAGCCGCGGUAAUACGGAGGAUGCAAGCGUUAUCCGGAAUCACUGGGCGUAAAGCGUCUGUAGGUGGCUUUUCAAGUCUGCUGUUAAAGACUGAGGCUUAACCUCAGAAAAGCAGUGGAAACUGACAAGCUAGAGCAUGGUAGGGGUAAAGGGAAUUCCCAGUGUAGCGGUGAAAUGCGUAGAUAUUGGGAAGAACACCUGUGGCGAAAGCGCUUUACUGGACCAUUGCUGACACUGAGAGACGAAAGCUAGGGUAGCAAAUGGGAUUAGAUACCCCAGUAGUC
rnacentral:rRNA from 1 species